AGAGUUUGAUCAUGGCUCAGGACGAACGCUGGCGGCGUGCUUAACACAUGCAAGUCGAACGGAAAGGCCCUUCGGGGUACUCGAGUGGCGAACGGGUGAGUAACACGUGGGUGAUCUGCCCUGCACUUUGGGAUAAGCCUGGGAAACUGGGUCUAAUACCGAAUAGGACCACGCGCUUCAUGGUGUGUGGUGGAAAGCUUUUGCGGUGUGGGAUGGGCCCGCGGCCUAUCAGCUUGUUGGUGGGGUAAUGGCCUACCAAGGCGACGACGGGUAGCCGGCCUGAGAGGGUGACCGGCCACACUGGGACUGAGAUACGGCCCAGACUCCUACGGGAGGCAGCAGUGGGGAAUAUUGCACAAUGGGCGCAAGCCUGAUGCAGCGACGCCGCGUGAGGGAUGACGGCCUUCGGGUUGUAAACCUCUUUCAAUAGGGACGAAGCGCAAGUGACGGUACCUAUAGAAGAAGCACCGGCCAACUACGUGCCAGCAGCCGCGGUAAUACGUAGGGUGCGAGCGUUGUCCGGAAUUACUGGGCGUAAAGAGCUCGUAGGUGGUUUGUCGCGUUGUUCGUGAAAACUCACAGCUUAACUGUGGGCGUGCGGGCGGUACGGGCAGACUAGAGUACUGCAGGGGAGACUGGAAUUCCUGGUGUAGCGGUGGAAUGCGCAGAUAUCAGGAGGAACACCGGUGGCGAAGGCGGGUCUCUGGGCAGUAACUGACGCUGAGGAGCGAAAGCGUGGGGAGCGAACAGGAUUAGAUACCCUGGUAGUCCAA
rnacentral:rRNA from 1 species